AUAUAUAAAGGGGGAGUUUUGGGGGUAUUUAUGGAAUUAUCAUUUAAGCUUAAAUAUAUAAUUUAAAUACUACAAUCUAGACAUUUAAGAAUAAAAACUUUCUCAUCAUAAUAUAAGAAAUAACGUGUCCCCUAUAAAGUCUUGACCCCACCAAUCAAUGAAAUUAAUUAUUCAGUUUUUUUAACGUUUUAUUCUUCAUAUUUAUAGGUUUUGAUUGUAGGAAGUUAAUUCCUUUUAUUUUAAUUAUAAGUGGAGGAAGUGAAAGGUUUUGAAAGAAAUUAACUUCUAAUUUCUACUAUAAAUAUAUAGCAUUUGAUAGCUUAUAAUCCACACAUUUCUAUCUUUUUCUCAUUACAUUCUUUGUUGAACAUUUUGCAGAGAUUUGAUCAAAUUUUAGGUACUCUCUUGACUCUCUAUCAAUGUUAGUUUAAUAUGAAGUUCGUUUUCUACAUCAUAAAUUUUAUUAUAUAAUAAUAAUGUUUGUUUAUAUUCCCAAUUCUUCAUAUUUAAUUUUGUUACUUUAAUAUUAUCUAAAUCGUUUAGUUAUUUUCUAUUAUUUAUUUGCAUGCCUAUUUUUUAAAUUUGUUGUUAUUAAGUGUGUUGUAUGUAACACAAUAGUCAUAAGUGUAUCUGAAUUUGUCUAAUAUUAAUUUAAAACCUAUUUGUUUACAUUAUACAACUAAUUCUAAUAUGAGUAUUAUUUUUUAUUAUUAUGUUAUUUAUAUUUGAGCAUUAAAUUAAUGUUGUAACUAUUAUAAUUGGAAUCUUUUGUUAUAGGUGAUGUGAAUUAGAUUCAUUUUUCUUCUUAGAGCUUAAUCAAAAUGUUGUUUCAAAUAUCCCCAUUCAUGUAUUGUGAAUCAGAGCUCUACAAUUUUUUAUAAUUUGUUAUUAAGUAUUUUAAAUAUAUGGUAUGUUUUAGUUGUAUAAUUCAUAGUUAUUUUGUUUACCAUCUAAAAUCAAUAAUGUUUUAAAAUAUCUUAAUGAAAAGAUUUUAUUUAUUUUUAUGCAAAUUGAGGGAAGUGGAAGUGAAAAGGCUUUGAAAUAUAAAUUGAAUAAUUACUUCAAAUUUAUUGAGGAAAUUGAUAAGAUUUUGGAAGAGAGACUCUCCAAAUCUUUAUGGUCCGUUUCUUCUACAAUAAUGACAGGUAUACUUUUGCCUUGAGAAAGCUUCAAAAGUAACAGUUCUGCACCAAGAUAUGAAUCCACAACCUGUUGGUUUGAAAAAAUAGAUAUUAUCAUAUGGGAAGACAUAAUUUAGUUGGAGAUUUGCGGCUAUUCAGUUUUACCUUACUUAACUCGUAGAAUUAUUGCAUCACCGAUUACUCAGUAUGCAUGAAAUUAUAAACAAUUCAAGAUAUUGACAGACUGGUUUACCUCUCUUGCUUUCA